UAGGAUAUGGUAUAUUAGGUAGCACAAAGAAUUUUGAAUUCUCAGGGGUAGAUUCAAUUCCUAUAAUUCUAG
rfam:Pongo abelii chromosome X.